GAUGAACGCUGGCGGCGUGCCUAAUACAUGCAAGUCGAGCGAACAGACGAGGAGCUUGCUCCUCUGACGUUAGCGGCGGACGGGUGAGUAACACGUGGAUAACCUACCUAUAAGACUGGGAUAACUUCGGGAAACCGGAGCUAAUACCGGAUAAUAUAUUGAACCGCAUGGUUCAAUAGUGAAAGACGGUUUUGCUGUCACUUAUAGAUGGAUCCGCGCCGCAUUAGCUAGUUGGUAAGGUAACGGCUUACCAAGGCAACGAUGCGUAGCCGACCUGAGAGGGGGUUGGGCCAAACUGGAAUGGACACCCGGCCCAGCACCCUAGGGGGGGGAGCAGGAGGGAAUCUUCCGCAAGGGGGGAAACCCUGACGGAGCAACGCCGGGGGGGUGAUGAAGUUCUUCGGAUCGUAAACCCCUUUUUUUAGGAAAAAAAAAAUGUGUAAGUAACUAUGCCCGUCUUGAGGGGACCUAAUCAGAAAGCCACGGCUAACUACGU
rnacentral:rRNA from 1 species